UAAGGUUAUACAAACAUUCCCUGAUCUAAGCAUUGCUGAUAUGUCUAAAGUUGUGUCAGUGAUGACAGAUGGGAUACCAAACAUAGUGGUGAAAAGAGUUGGAUUUGUCAAAUUGUUUAUAGAAGCUAUUGGACAUCUGAUUUGGCCUUUUCAUUGUAUUAUCCAUCAGGAGGCUUUAUGUGCCAAGGUUUCAACAAAUAUGAAGAAUUCAGGAAAAUAUGGAAAGAAAGUGAAAAAUGGAAUGAAGACAACAAUAGACAAUAACUAAAAUAAUGAAAAGAACACCAAAAUGGAAUCAAAUAUUAUAUGAUUGUAAUGAUCAAUUCUGACCCACUGAAAAAGAAAUGGUGAUCUCUUCUGGAUGAAAUGGAAGAAUUAGGGUGUAGAAUGUCAGAUGCAUUUCUAUAAUGCUACGAUAACAUGUGAAAAAAACAUCCUCACACAGUUCCAACGCAGGACCUGUUGCAACUUUUUCUGGGU